CUGGAGGUUUGGAGCUGCCACCGGCUGGUGUUCAUUGUGCUGAAGGGGCGCAGAACAGAAAACACACGGAGGAGUAAAAAUAGUUUCUCGCUUGGUCUGGAGUGAUGUUUCGAAAGACUGCUGGGUUAUAAGGAUGUACAAGAUGUUGCAGAGGUAGAACAUCUUCAACCGUUGGCUUUUACCUUUUGCAUUAGGACAAGUAGUACCGCUCUUUCUCCUCCCUGUUAAAUGAGUGAUGAAGAAGAUGAUGAUCCAGGCCUCCUGUAGGAAAGGUGUGCAGGUGUGUUUAAUCCUCCUGAUGGUGGGAAGACUACAGGGUGUUUCAGGAAGGGUAACAGCAUCAGCGCGUUUAGAAGCUCCAGUGGAGAAGCCCUUCACUCUCACUUGCAGUGUCUUGAGGGAACGAGGUGAGUCUCUGAGGCAGGUGCGUUGGCUGGACGUCCAAAACCAGACCCUGCUAAGCUACCAACCCGGCAACAAAGACAGUGUGAGUGGACAGCAGUAUGUGGAGCUCGCCUCCUCCCCAAAAGACACCUCAGCCAUCACCAUCAGUAGGGUGGGUUUCCGUGACGAAGGCUGCUACACCUGCAUCUUUGACAUGCAUCCUUCCGGUUCAAAGCAGGGACAGACGUGCCUCACUGUUACCUCUCAAGUCACCGUUGAAAGCAACAAGACAGCAGUGAGCGGCAAGAAGGCCUCCCUCUCGUGCUCCUACGGUUUGCCUGAGAAGGUUCAACAGAUCAUAUGGAAACACACGUCUGCACAAGGUGACUCCACAGAGGUGGCCUCCUUCGCAAAGCGGAGCGACCCCAUGAUAGAGCCAUCGUUCCAGGGAAGAGUCUGGCUGAGUGCCUCUCUGUCAGAGAGUCAGCUCACCAUCCAGCCUGUCGCUAUCCAGGAUGAGGGCUGCUACACCUGCCUGUACAACACACAUCUCGACGGGCCGAAGACGUCCACAGUUUGCCUCGUCACCUAUGUGCUGCCCAAACCUCAGGUGAGCUACAAGACCACCUCUCCCGGUGUGAUCGAAGCCAACUGCACCUCAGUGUCACGGCCCCCAGCAGAGAUAGUGUGGAACGUGGAGAGGGAUAACCGCACCAUGGGCCCCCCUGUGACAACACAGCUCCCACAGGGCGAUGGGACCACUCUGGUCAUCAGUACGCUGACUGUCCGAUCUGGGCUGCUGAAAGAUGUGUCCAUCAAAUGCUUGGUGCACCACAAAGGGCUUGAGUCACCGAUUGCUGUAUCCAUGAACACUAAAAUUGGGACGGCUCUCACCAUCCUGAUCUCUGUCACUACGGUGGCUGCCCUGUUGGUCAUGUCCCUCUGCUUCUGCCUUUGGAAGUGUUUCUUGCACAAAGAAGCAGACUUUUACACAGGAGACGUUCCUCAUAUGUGAGGUGUGCCAUCGGACCCUUCUCCCACUGCCGCCUCUUACUCCGAUAAAGGCUUCAUGUUGAAACCUGAUUAAUCUCUCAGAGGAGACCAGACGCUGAAAAGAAGGGGCAGUGUUUCUCAGAGUCAACCUUUGCAGAAUUGUUUCCUCUGCAUCAUCAUCAUCAUUAUCAUCAUCAUCAUCUUGGUACAAAGGGAAGAUGUUCUGACACACAUCUAUAGGAUGACAAAUACAAUCCUAUUCAUGAACGCCAACUGUACAAUGAUAUGUAUCUCUUCUGCCUCUGCCCCCGACUCUUAUAUAAUCUCCAGGCUGUCCUCACAUGAAGUCAAUAAGGAAACAUUUUCUCUCUGGCUCUGUAACUGAUUGACUCGAUGGCCACACUCUCUACAACAUACAGCAGAGUCACUCUGUGGCAAAUUAAAGUCCAAUAUUGUCCUUUAAAUACUUCCCUCUGUUUGUCUCCGUCUUUUACCUGGUCCUGAAAGGAUAAGUGUGGUGAUAAUACAUUUUUCUUAUUCAACAAAUCCUAUGAAAAGACUAAAACCAACAAUGAAUUGAUUCCAGUAACAACCAUAGUCUGUGUAACAGUCUGAUACAGCAUGGCCCUGCAUUGUUGUUCGAAAACUGUUAACAAAAACUCAUUAUGAGCUACGUGACGCACCGAUGACUAGAACAUGGGCACUGUAAUUAAUAUACAGCUGAAAAUAGUCCCCAACAAAUAUCCGGUUUAGCAGACUUUCAGUAAUAAUUGUUAAAAACUACAGUGCCUUAAAAAAAUGAUUAUUUCAUUCAAGGCUCACAUCUUAGUUACAGUAGUUCCCCUGACAAACUAGCAUUGUGGAGGACACCUUUUUCUGUAUUUUAAUGGGAUUUGUUUUUCAGUAGGAAAAAUAAAGAAUAUGGUGAGCUGUAUCCUUUAAAUAACAAAGCUAAUUGAAAGUAUAAGAUCACCAUUAAGGUUUUACUUGUCAGCCGAAGGCCUACGUCACUUCUGUAUAUUGUUAAAGCUGGGUGAGGUCUUCACUUGUUCAACUAAGAGGGAUGUAUACUUAUGUCUUCUUUGUGUAAUAUCUAUUGCAAACUUUUCUACAUGUUUCAACGUCUGUGUGUGCCUGUGUGUGCGUGUGUGUGUGUGCCUGUGUGUGCGUGUGUGUGUGUGCGUGUGUGUGCGUGUGUGUGCGUGUGUGUGUGUGUGUGCUUAUUGGUUAGGGGUUAAAUUCUACGGUCAGGUAGCUUGAAUCAAUUUCCCGAGGAAGCAACACUGAAACCUUUUUGGUGCCCCUGAAAGGAAUGCAUGUCUUGCUGCCUUCGUGAGUACACAGGUCGGGGUGUGGAGAAUUGGUUUAGGGGUUUGAUAAUGGUUAAAUGCCAAAAUGCUCAUUUGUACAUUGCUCUGGAUCAAAGUGGCACCUAAAUGCCUACAAUAUAGUGAAGAUAUUAGGUUAUAUCAUGUUUGCAUCUGUACAGUGUACAAUGUAAGCUUUAUGAUGAAAUAUUAUUGUAUAUCAAAGCAUAUGAAUCGGUCAGUUAUGAACAGAAGGAGAUGCUGGUUAUCAGAUUUCAAACCUAUUGCUUCAGUUGGGCUCAUCACAUUCCUCACCAUUAACAAGACUUUAGGCAGCAUUCCUCUGUCAGUAGAGCUUCACUAUGCAUACAACACUGAUUAUAAGCUCAGAGUUUAUACAUUAGAAUAAUUAUGGAUGUGGAAAUGUGGUUUCAGAACAUUUGUUGGAAAUACAUUAAAAUGUAUCUGGCCCUGUAGCAGAGCAACUACAGUCAAGAAAAUAUGAAAUCAUGCAUUAUGACCGACUACGUAAAGUGUAUGUAAUGAAUGCAACAAAUAGAAAAAUAAAGAUAUUUCAAAAGUA